rnacentral:SRP_RNA from 1 species
CUCCGGUCCCCUCACAAGGUUUGAGUUGUGAACUCCGCUAGGCGAGGAAUCGAGCAACGGUAGCAAUUUCAGUCUGUGUUGCGACCAGGUCCGGAGCC